CGGCCUUCAAAAAUUUCAACUGUGUUUCAUUUUUUUUUUUCCUAGUUUCAAAAUUGAAACAAAUUAGGCACCGAGCAUCUACCAGUGAAUGGUCAUGGACCUAAUAAAAUAAAUAAAUAAGGAUGAUGGACCUGUAUGUAUCGGACAGGAAUGGCCAUGAUUCAAACUCAGCGUGCACCGCACUCCACACGAUACUUGCCCACCCUCCUAACCGAGUAACCGUUGACUCGUCUCGAGUACGACUUCUUCUACAACGACUCU
rnacentral:lncRNA from 1 species